rnacentral:lncRNA from 1 species
UCUAUUUAUUGAUGAGGCUCAUAUUCUCUUAGUAUUAAUCAGUACAAUUGACUUCCAAUCACUUAGUUCUGGAGCUACCCAGAAGAGAAUAAUAAACCUUAUAGUAACUCUCUUCGUGAACUCUUUCAUUGCCCUACUAUUAAUCUCCGUAGCAUUUUGGUUACCUCAGCUAAACGUAUAUGCUGAAAAAGCAAGCCCCUACGAAUGUGGCUUCGAUCCCAUAGGAUCUGCUCGCCUACCAUUUUCAAUAAAAUUUUUCCUUGUUGCAAUUACAUUUCUUCUAUUUGAUCUAGAAAUUGCUCUUCUUCUCCCUCUUCCCUGAGCUUCCCAAACAAACAAUCUUAACCUUAUGCUAACUAUAGCUUUGCUCUUAAUCCUAAUUCUUAUCCUCGGGCUAGCCUAUGAAUGAGUCCAAAAAGGCUUAGAAUGAAUUGAAUAUGGUAAUUAGUUUAAAUUAAAACAAGUGAUUUCGACUCACUAAAUUAUGGACUGCCAUAAUUAUCAAAAUGCCUAUUAUUACUCUCAACAUUAUAUUAGCCUACUCUACAUCCCUUCUAGGGAUAUUCAUUUAUCGAUCCCAUUUAAUAUCAUCACUUUUAUGUUUAGAGGGUAUAAUGCUAUCAAUAUUUAUUCUAUGCUCUCUCCUAAUUAUAAACUUACACUUUUCACUAUCAUUUAUGAUUCCCAUUAUCUUAUUAGUGUUUGCCGCAUGUGAAGCAGCUGUAGGCUUGGCCCUUCUGGUAAUAGUAUCUAAUACAUACGGCCUAGACUACGUCCAAAACUUAAAUAUCCUUCAAUGCUAAAAAUUAUUAUUCCUACAAUCCUACUCGCUCCCCUUAUAUGAUUCUCAAAACCCUCUAUAAUUUGAAUUAAUCCUUCUAUUCAUAGUUUAAUUAUUAGCCUAAUUGUUCUCCUUACAUUAAAUCGCCCCACAAAUACAGAUUUAAUUUUUUCAUUAGUCUUCUUCACAGACCCUUUAUCUUCUCCUUUAUUAGUCCUGACAGCAUGACUUCUACCCCUCAUAAUUAUGGCUAGCCAAAGUCACUUAACUCAAGAACCACUAAUCCGAAAGAAACUCUAUAUUCUCAUAUUAAUCUCACUACAAUCUUUUCUAAUUAUAACUUUCUCCGUUACUGAACUAAUCAUAUUCUAUAUCCUUUUUGAGGCCACCCUAAUCCCUACACUCAUUAUUAUCACUCGAUGAGGAAACCAAACUGAACGAUUAAAUGCAGGAUUAUAUUUCCUAUUUUACACCCUAGUGGGCUCUCUACCCUUAUUAGUAGCAUUAAUUUACAUUCAAAAAUCUACUGGAUCUUUAAACUUUAUUAUUUCAACAUACCAAUCAUCUACCCUUUCCAUAUCUUGAACAAAUCAUAUUCUAUGACUAGCAUGCAUUAUAGCUUUUAUAGUUAAAAUACCUCUAUACGGUCUCCAUCUUUGACUACCAAAAGCCCAUGUCGAAGCUCCCAUCGCUGGUUCUAUAGUUUUAGCCGCUAUUCUACUAAAGCUUGGUGGAUAUGGAAUGAUCCGAAUUUCAGCUCUUCUUCAUCCUAUCACAAGUAACAUAGCCUAUCCUUUUAUUAUAUUAUCUUUAUGAGGUAUAAUUAUAACAAGUUCAAUCUGCUUACGACAAACAGACCUAAAAUCCCUCAUCGCCUACUCAUCAGUAAGUCAUAUAGCACUAGUAAUUGUAGCAAUUAUAAUUCAAACCCCCUGAAGCUUUAUAGGAGCCACAGCAUUAAUAAUCGCUCACGGAUUGACAUCCUCUAUACUUUUUUGUCUAGCAAACACUAACUAUGAACGAAUUCAUAGUCGAACUAUAACAUUAGCUCGAGGCUUACAAUCUAUUCUCCCCCUUAUAGCAACAUGAUGAGUUCUAGCAACCCUAACCAAUCUAGCCCUCCCACCCUCCAUUAACUUAAUUGGUGAACUAUUUAUUAUUAUAGCAUCAUUUACUUGAUCAAACAUUUCAAUUAUCUUAACUGGGCUAAAUAUAUUAAUCACAGCUCUCUACUCGCUAUAUAUACUAAUUACAACACAACAAGGAAAAUUUACAUAUCACACACUAAAUAUUAGCCCCUCCUUCACACGAGAAAAUACACUUAUAUUUCUUCACCUUUUUCCACUUAUCAUCCUAUCAACGAACCCUACCAUCAUUCUGGGACAUUUGUACUGUAAAUAUAGUUUAAGCAAAACUUUAGAUUGUGAAUCUAACAAUAGAGAAUCGUAAUCUCUUAUUUACCAAGAAAGCAUGCAAGAACUGCUAACUCAUGCUACCGUGACUAAACCCACGGCUUUCUUAACUUCUAUAGGAUAGAAGCAAUCCGUUGGUCUUAGGAAUCAAAAAAUUGGUGCAACUCCAAAUAGAAGUAAUUAAUAUAUUCUCUUCACUUAUUCUCACAUCACUUAUAACCCUAUCAUUUCCCAUUUUUCUAACAAUAACUAAUCACCAUAAGCACAUUAACUUCCCAAACUACGUUAAAAUCUCCAUUAUUUGUGCAUUAUCACUCUGCAUCGUACCAACACUAAUAUUUACUAACUCAAAUUAUGAACUCAUUAUCUCAAACUGACACUGAAUAACUAUUCAAACAUUCACCUUUUCCAUAAGCUUUAAAUUAGAUUACUUUUCCAUAUUAUUUAUACCUGUAGCACUAUUCGUUACAUGAUCAAUUAUAGAAUUCUCAAUAUGAUAUAUACACUCCGAUCCCUUCAUUAACCGUUUCUUUAAAUAUCUCCUUUUAUUCCUUAUCACUAUAAUAAUUCUAGUUACAGCUAAUAACCUAUUUCAACUAUUUAUUGGCUGAGAAGGAGUAGGUAUUAUAUCUUUCUUACUAAUUGGCUGAUGAUACAGCCGAACAGAUGCUAAUACAGCAGCCCUCCAAGCCAUUUUAUAUAACCGAAUUGGAGAUAUUGGAUUUGUUCUAGCUAUAGCAUGAUUCCUACUUAACUCAAACUCAUGAGAACUACAACAACUUUUCAUUAUAGAUGUCUCUCUAUUCCCCCUUCUAGGACUACUCUUGGCCGCCACAGGAAAAUCUGCCCAAUUUGGUCUUCACCCUUGAUUACCUUCCGCCAUAGAAGGUCCGACUCCUGUUUCAGCUUUACUUCACUCCAGCACAAUAGUAGUGGCAGGAGUCUUCCUCCUUAUUCGCUUCUACCCGUUAAUAGAACAUAAUAAAACCAUCCAAACACUUACUCUUUGUUUAGGAGCUAUUACCACCCUAUUCACCGCUAUCUGUGCUCUAACCCAAAAUGACAUUAAAAAAAUUAUCGCAUUCUCUACUUCAAGUCAAUUAGGAUUAAUAAUAGUAACUAUUGGAAUUAAUCAACCUCAUCUAGCAUUUCUUCAUAUUUGCACACACGCAUUCUUCAAAGCUAUACUAUUCAUAUGCUCAGGAUCAAUUAUUCACAACCUAAAUGACGAACAAGACAUUCGAAAAAUAGGAGGCUUAUUUAAAGCCCUCCCAUUCACUUCAUCUUCACUUAUUAUUGGUAGCCUAGCAUUAACAGGAACUCCCUUUCUAACAGGAUUUUAUUCUAAAGACCUAGUCAUUGAAUCUGCUAAUACGUUGAAUACCAACGCCUGAGCCCUAAUUAUUACUCUCCUUGCCACUUCCCUAACCGCUGUCUACAGUACACGAAUUAUCUUCUAUGUUCUAAUAGGACAACCUCGAUUUUCUACACUAACUCCAAUCAAUGAAAAUAACCCUCAACUACUUAAUUCAAUUAAACGCCUUCUUAUUGGCAGUAUUAUCGCAGGAUUUAUCCUUUCAUAUAAUAUCCCACCCAUAAAUACCCCAGUACUAACCAUACCUAUUUAUCUAAAACUUAUAGCAUUAUUAGUAACCAUCCUAGGGUUUGUUAUCGCGAUAGAACUAAACUCAAUGACCCUCUAUCUCCAAACCAAAAUGUACUCAAAUAUAUCAAAAUUUUCAACUUUACUAGGCUAUUUUCCUACUAUUAUUCACCGACUCAGCCCCCGUCUCAAUCUUAUUAUAAGCCAAAAACUAUCAUCAACCCUUCUAGACCUAGUCUGAUUAGAAAAAACUAUCCCCAAAUUCACUGCUAACCUUCAUUCAAUAGCCUCUACCAUAUCCUCUAACCAAAAAGGCCUCAUCAAACUAUACUUCUUAUCAUUUCUAAUUUCAACACUCUUAGCAACUAUCUCUAUAUUCUAUUUCCACGUGUAAUUUCAAUCACAAUAAAAAUACUAACGAACAAUGAUCAACCAGCUACAACCAUUAAUCAACUUCCACAGCUGUAUAUAGCCGCCACCCCUAUUGAAUCCUCACGAACUAAUCCCAACUCAUCCCCUUCAAAUACUAUCCAAUUCUCCAAAUCCUUAAACUCAACUACAAUCUCUACCUCAUCAUAUAUAAUCAUAAGUAUGAUAAUUAAAAACUCCACUAAAAAUCCCAACAACAAAACUCCUCAAAUAACCACACUUGACCCUCACGUUUCUGGAUAUUCCUCCGUUGCUAUAGCCGUAGUAUAACCAAAUACCACCAACAUUCCCCCCAAAUAAAUCAAAAAUACUAUCAAACCUAAAAAAGACCCUCCAAAAUAUAACACAACCCCACAUCCAAUUCCCCCACUAAUAAUCAGCCCCAAACCUCCAUAAAUAGGAGAAGGCUUUGAAGAAAAUCCCACAAAGCCUAAAACAAAAAGUAUGCUUAACAAGUACGUAAUAUAUGUCAUUAUUUUUACAUGGAAUCUAACCAUGACCAAUGACAUGAAAAAUCAUCGUUGUUAUUCAACUAUAAAAACACUAAUGACAAACAUCCGCAAAACCCAUCCUCUAUUUAAAAUUAUUAACCACUCCUUUAUUGACCUACCUGCACCCUCUAAUAUUUCAACAUGAUGAAAUUUUGGGUCACUACUAGGGCUCUGCUUAGCUAUCCAAAUCCUCACCGGGUUAUUUCUAGCAAUACACUACACUUCCGAUACCAUAACAGCCUUUUCGUCAGUUACCCAUACAUGCCGAGACGUAAAUUACGGCUGACUUAUCCGCUAUAUACAUGCUAACGGCGCAUCAAUAUUUUUUAUCUGCCUCUUUCUUCAUGUAGGCCGAGGAAUAUACUAUGGCUCAUACACCUACUUUGAAACAUGAAACAUUGGAGUUAUUCUCCUAUUUACAGUAAUAGCUACAGCUUUUAUAGGCUAUGUACUCCCCUGAGGCCAAAUAUCAUUCUGAGGUGCAACCGUAAUUACCAAUCUUUUAUCUGCUGUUCCAUACAUUGGUACAACUUUAGUUGAAUGAAUCUGAGGCGGAUUCUCAGUAGAUAAAGCCACUCUAACACGAUUCUUUGCAUUCCACUUCAUCCUUCCCUUUAUCAUCGCAGCUCUAGUCAUAGUCCAUCUCCUUUUUCUUCAUGAAACCGGAUCAAACAACCCCUCAGGCCUUAUCUCUGACUCAGACAAAAUCCCCUUUCACCCAUACUAUACCAUUAAGGACAUCCUUGGAGUUCUUCUUCUUAUUUUAAUUCUAAUAAUUCUAGUCUUAUUUUCACCUGACCUUCUAGGAGAUCCUGAUAAUUAUACACCUGCAAACCCCUUAAGUACACCACCCCAUAUUAAACCAGAAUGAUACUUCUUAUUUGCCUACGCUAUCCUACGAUCUAUCCCCAACAAACUAGGAGGAGUUUUAGCCCUAGUCUUCUCAAUUCUUAUUUUAAUACUCUUCCCACUACUCCACUUAUCUAAGCAACGUAGCAUAAUAUUCCGACCAUUAAGUCAAUGCAUAUUUUGGGUCCUAGUAGCAGACCUAAUUACACUAACCUGAAUCGGAGGACAACCUGUUGAAUACCCAUAUACUAUCAUUGGCCAACUAGCGUCAAUUCUAUACUUUGCUAUCAUUCUCUUAAUCCUACCAACCAUUAGUCUAAUUGAAAACAAACUUCUUAAAUGAAGA